rfam:Brachypodium distachyon strain Bd21 chromosome 2, whole genome shotgun sequence.
GAGUGAUGAUGAAGAGCUCUUGUGACAACUUGGGUCUGUCAUAUUCAUCUGAUUCUGAUGAUAAGAGCUAAACUGAGCUC